rnacentral:tRNA from 1 species
AGUUUUAUAUUCAAAAUUAUGAUAUUAAAUUGCAAAUUUAAAGGUGAAUUAUUUAAUUCUAAAACUU